rnacentral:ncRNA from 2 species
UACGUGCUCCGGGGUCGGUGAGAAUCCGAACCGGCGGUGAUAGUCCGCGAGCCGCAGCAGGUCAUCACUUCGAUAUCCUGCCCAGGCUGAUCCGGUGCGAUUCCGGGACCGACGGUGAUGCGAUGGCGACGCCAUCGCUAGUCCGGAUGGGAGGCGCACGAC